GUCGGCGAGCACGCCCGGACGCUGCGCAACCCCAUCUCCGGCCGCCUCAAGCACCACGCCGGCGUCCACCCCAAGUUCCACGGACUCAUCACCGGCUCGCACAGAUUCUAUGGUAGGAGCAAAACAAGACAUGAUUGACCUCACCGUGCACUCUAAAAGGAAUCAUCACAAAGAUUGGAGAAGUUGCUAGGACACUUCAUAUAAACUAAAGUCUUGAAAAUGAGAAACUGAACAACUUGCAUGAAAAGGUUUUAUCUCUCUCCCUCAGCUAAGCCAACCGUGCGGCGACAGGUGGCCCAAUGUUGGAAACAUUUUCUUUAGUAAGCUUGUAGAUAGAAAUUUUGAACGGCAAGGACAUGCAAGGUUUAAGUUUUGUGAUAUUGAUGAUUCAAGUUUUCAUGUUCAGUAACAGUACACCAGUUGGGCAAUUUGGAGCAUGUUAUGCUCAGUGAAUUUUCUCUAUGCGCAGGUUAAAGACUCUCAAAUUGAUUUUAAACUUCUACGUUCAGUUACAAAGCGCUUGGUUUUGUCUGGAGGGAGCCCCCUUUUGACUCUAUUCCUGGAGCCCUAAAUAUGGAGGUUAAAUUUUAUGUUUCUCUUACUCGUACCCUUGUUGUUCUACGUAUUCCUGUUUCAAAUGGAGCUUCAUAGGGGCAUGUUCUCUGUGCUAUUACCUUUCUAUAUUGUUGUUCCAUGGUCGAUAUAAAAUUAGGUGUGAAAGAAAAGAAGUGCAAGUUUGCGAACUGAGCAAUGAUUUUCAUUCAUUUGUGCUUACUAAUAAUAACAACUCUAUGUGAUAAAUGCAGAUCAAUUGUGAGGAUUUCAUGAAUGACAUACUUAGGCCUGCAUCUUUGUGGUCAUUUCCUUUUAAGACAGCUCACUUGGUAGAUGCAUCAUCUACCUAUGUUUAUUGACAUCAUUUUAGGUAGAGCAGUAAGUUGCAUAAGAUUCUUUUGGUCCAUCCUAGGAAUGAACAUAUAUUUAUCGAUUUCUUGGUCUCGGUAGGACACACAAAAUCUUUGUGAUCUGUCAAAUUGCUACAAAGCUAGACUGAUUUUUUAAUGAUAAAUCAAUUAAUUUCUAUCUAAAGCUACCUACAUUUGAUUUGUUCACCAAUGGAGGGAACUCGGAGACUUGGGUUUCCUGUUCUGCUAUAUCCAAAUGGAAAUAAUGCUCCUGGUUUACGAAUACUCUUCUUGAAUUACAGUAUCACUGUAAAAUUUCCUUUAUUUUGUAGAUUUUUUACUGUGGUGUACUUAAUACUGCUUUAAUUAUAGUAUGACAUAGACCAUCUGAUGGCUGAAAUGCCUUGAGAUC